rnacentral:rRNA from 1 species
UCAUUYUCACCAACGGAUUUUUUGUUUCUUGCAACAAUAAAGAACGCAACGAAAUGCGAUACUGAGGGUGAAUUGAGAAAUUCCACGAAUCAUCGAGUUUUUGAACGCAAGUUGCGCCCGAGGUUUAGUGCCGAGGGCAUGCCUGCCUGACCGUC